rnacentral:rRNA from 1 species
UGAGUAAUGUAUCGGAACGUGCCUUCUUCGGGGGAUAACUACCCCAAAGCGUAUCUGAUACCGCACACGCCCUACGGGGGAAAGCAGGGCAAUCGCACGACCUUGCACUAUUAGAUCGGCCAUAUAUCGUGAUUACCUAGUUGGUGGGGUAACAGCUCACCAAUGCCACGAUCCAUAACUGGUUUGGGAGGACAACCAGCCACACUGGGCACUGAGCACACGGCCCACACUCCUACGGGAGGCAGCAGUGGGGAAUUUUGGACAAUGGGGGAAACCCUGAUCCAGCCAUCCCGCGUGUGCGAUGAAGGCCUUCGGGUUGUAAAGCACUUUUGGCAGGAAAGAAACGUCAUGGGCUAAUACCCCGUGAAACUGACGGUACCUGCAGAAUAAGCACCGGCUAACUACGUGCCAGCAGCCGC